rnacentral:rRNA from 1 species
UAGGGAAUCUUCCACAAUGGACGCAAGUCUGAUGGAGCAACGCCGCGUGAGUGAAGAAGGUUUCGGACCGUAAAGCUCUGUUGUUGGUGAAGAAGGAUAGAGGUAGUAACUGGCCUUUAUUUGACGGUAAUCAACCAGAAAGUCACGGCUAACUACGUGCCAGCAGCCGCGGUAAAUCGUAGGUGGCAAGCGUUGUCCGGAUUUAUUGGGCGUAAAGCGAGCGCAGGCGGAAGAAUAAGUCUGAUGUGAAAGCCCUCGGCUUAACCGAGGAAUUGCAUCGGAAACUGUUUUCUUGAGUGCAGAAGAGGAGAGUAGAACUCCAUGUGUAGCGGUGGAAUGCGUAGAUAUAUGGAAGAAUACCAGUGGCGAAGGCGGCUCUCUGGUCUGCAACUGACGCUGAGGCUCGAAAGCAUGGGUAGCGAACAGGAUUAGAUACCCUGGUAGUCCAUGCCGUAAACGAUGAGUGCUAAGUGUUGGGAGGCUUCCGCCUCUCAGUGCUGCAGCUAACGCAUUAAGCACUCCGCCUGGGGGAGUACGACCGCAAGGUUGAAAC